rnacentral:rRNA from 1 species
GGAGUCUAGCAUGUGCGCGAGUCAUUGGGAAAUGACUAAACCUAAAGGCGCAAUGAAAGUGAAAGUCCGCCUGGCGCGGACUUAGGGAAGAUGGGCGGUCGUUACGUACGCCGCCCCGCAUUCCCGGGGCGUCUCGUUCUCAUUGCGAGAAGAGGCGCACCAAGAGCGUACACGCUGGGACCCGAAAGAUGGUGAACUAUGCCUGGUCAGGACGAAGUCAGGGGAAACCCUGAUGGAGGUCCGUAGCGAUUCUGACGUGCAAAUCGAUCGUCGGAACUGGGUAUAGGGGCGAAAGACUAAUCGAACCAUCUAGUAGCUGGUUCCCUCCGAAGUUUCCCUCAGGAUAGCUGGUGCUCGUUGCGUACGAGUUUCAUCCGGUAAAGCGAAUGAUUAGAGGCAUUGGGGUCGAAACGGCCUCAACCUAUUCUCAAACUUUAAAUGGGUGAGAUCUCCGGCUUGCUCGAACUCAUGAAGCCGAGAGACUCGAAUCAGAGUGCCAAGUGGGCCAUUUUUGGUAAGCAGAACUGGCGCUGUGGGAUGAACCAAACGCCGAGUUAAAGCGCCUAAAUCGACGCUUAUGGGAUACCAUGAAAGGCGUUGGUAACUUAAGACAUCAGGACGGUGGCCAUGGAAGUC